UAAUAGUCCAACAGCAUAUAUAGAAAGGAAAAAUAGAUAGCACGUUGGACUUCUAAUCCAAAGGUCGUGGGUUCAAAUCCCAUCUGUCAAGGAA